rnacentral:rRNA from 1 species
GACGAACGCUGGCGGCGUGCUUAACACAUGCAAGUCGAACGGGAACCUUUAUUUCGGUAAAGGUGAGAGUGGCAAACGGGUGAGUAACACGUAGGCAACCUGCCGACAGGAUGGGGACAACAUUCCGAAAGGAAUGCUAAUACCGAAUGAAGUCACCGGAGGGCAUCCUCUGGUGAUGAAAGAUGGCCUCUGAAUAUGCUAUCACCUGUCGAUGGGCCUGCGUCUGAUUAGCCAGUUGGCGGGGUAACGGCCCACCAAAGCGACGAUCAGUAGCCGGUCUGAGAGGAUGAACGGCCACAUUGGGACUGAGACACGGCCCAGACUCCUACGGGAGGCAGCAGUGGGGAAUCUUCCACAAUGGGCGAAAGCCUGAUGGAGCAACGCCGCGUGAGUGAAGAAGGUCUUCGGAUCGUAAAGCUCUGUUGCACGGGACGAAAACCGAG